rnacentral:rRNA from 1 species
CAUACCUAUUCGAAGGGAUAGGGUCGGUUUGGCCGGAUCUCACACAGGUGUUGCAUGGCUGUCGUCAGCUCGCGUCGUGAGAUGUUGGGUUAAGUCCCGCAACGAGCGCAACCCUCAUCCUUAGUUACCGUCAGGUUAUGCUGGGGACUUUAAGGAAACUGCCAGUGAUAAACUGGAGGAAGGUGGGGAUGAUGUCAAGUCAUCAUGGCCCUUAUGGAGUGGGCUACACACGUGCUACAAUGGUGAUUACAAUGGGCUGCAAGGUCGCAAGGCUGAGCUAAUCCUAAAAAAUCAUCUCAGUUCGGAUUGUUCUCUGCAACCCGAGAGCAUGAAGUUGGAAUUGCUAGUAAUCGUGGAUCAGCAUGCCACGGUGAAUACGUUCUCGGGUCUUGUACACACUGCCCGUCACGCCAUGGGAAUUGGUUUCACUCGAAGCU